rnacentral:rRNA from 1 species
UACGAAGGGGGCUAGCGUUGCUCGGAAUUACUGGGCGUAAAGCGCACGUAGGCGGGUUGUUAAGUCGGGGGUGAAAUCCUGGAGCUCAACUCCAGAACUGCCUUCGAUACUGGCGAUCUCGAGUUCGGGAGAGGUGAGUGGAACUGCGAGUGUAGAGGUGAAAUUCGUAGAUAUUCGCAAGAACACCAGUGGCGAAGGCGGCUCACUGGCCCGAUACUGACGCUGAGGCGCGAAAGCCAGGGGAGCAAACGGG